UACAGAGGGGGCAAGCGUUAUUCGGAAUUAUUGGGCGUAAAGGGCGCGUAGGCGGCUUGGCAAGUGGAAGGUGAAAUCCCUCGGCUUAACCGAGGAACUGCCCUCCAAACUGCUUCGCUUGAGACCGGGAGAGGUGAGUGGAAUUCCCAGUGUAGCGGUGAAAUGCUUAGAUAUGACAUAGAACACCAAUUGCGAAGGCAGCUCACUACGGGAUCAUUGACACUGAGGCACGAAAGCGUGGGGAUCAAACAGG
rnacentral:rRNA from 1 species